AGAUGCGGCGUUGCUUACAAUGCAAGUCGAACGGAGGUUAUUUUGAAACUUAGUGAUAGAUAACCUUAGUGGCGGACGGGUGAGUAACGCGUGGAUAACCUGCCUACAUGCCUGGGACAACACCGGGAAACUGGUGCUAAUACCGGAUACGCUCUUGUAUGCACAUGCAUAUAAGAGGAAAGGAGCAAUCCGCAUAUAGAUGGGUCCGCGUCCCAUUAGCUAGUUGGAGGUGUAAGAGACCCCCAAGGCGACGAUGGGUAGCCGGCCUGAGAGGGUGGACGGCCACACUGGAACUGAGACACGGUCCAGACUCCUACGGGAGGCAGCAGUGGGGAAUCUUCCGCAAUGGGCGAAAGCCUGACGGAGCAACGCCGCGUGAGUGAAGAAGGCCUUCGGGUCGUAAAACUCUGUCUUCAGGGAAGAAAAAAAUGACGGUACCUGAGGAGGAAGCCCCGGCUAACUACGUGCCAGCAGCCGCGGUAAAACGUAGGGGGCGAGCGUUGUCCGGAAUUACUGGGCGUAAAGGGCGCGUAGGCGGUCAUUUAAGUCAGAGGUGAAAACUACCGGCUCAACCGGUAGCCUGCCUUUGAAACUGGAUGACUUGAGGGCAGGAGAGGGGAGUGGAAUUCCCAGUGUAGCGGUGAAAUGCGUAGAUAUUGGGAGGAACACCAGUGGCGAAGGCGGCUCUCUGGCCUGUUUCUGACGCUGAGGCGCGAAAGCGUGGGGAGCGAACGGGAUUAGAUACCCCGGUAGUCCACGCCGUAAACGAUGGGUGCUAGGUGUAGGAGGUAUCGACCCCUUCUGUGCCGUAGCUACGCAU
rnacentral:rRNA from 1 species